UUCCAAAGGAAGAAGCGCGUGAAAGUUGGAGAAUUUCAGUGAUAGAAGUGGGACUUUGGAAGAGCAGUUUUGGCAAGCCGUGGUUUCCUGAGCCCUAGUCCACAGAGAUGAAGACUUCCCAAAGAAGAGGUGAGAGAGAGUGAGACAGCAGAAUAUUUGAAGAAAUAAUGGUGGUGAAUUUUUCAAUCUGAUGAAAAAUGUUAAUCCACACAUUUAAGAACCUCUGAAAACCCCAAAUCAG